GAUGAACGCUGGCGGCGUGCCUAAUACAUGCCAGUCGAGCGAACAGACGAGGAGCUUGCUCCUCUGACGUUAGCGGCGGACGGGUGAGUAACACGUGGAUAACCUACCUAUAAGACUGGGAUAACUUCGGGAAACCGGAGCUAAUACCGGAUAAUAUAUUGAACCGCAUGGUUCAAUAGUGAAAGUCGGUUUUGCUGUCACUUAUAGAUGGAUCCGCGCCGCAUUAGCUAGUUGGUAAGGUAACGGCUUACCAAGGCAACGAUGCGUAGCCGACCUGAGAGGGUGAUCGGCCACACUGGAACUGAGACACGGUCCAGACUCCUACGGGAGGCAGCAGUAGGGAAUCUUCCGCAAUGGGCGAAAGCCUGACGGAGCAACGCCGCGUGAGUGAUGAAGGUCUUCGGAUCGUAAAACUCUGUUAUUAGGGAAGAACAAAUGUGUAAGUAACUAUGCACGUCUUGACGGUACCUAAUCAGAAAGCCACGGCUAACUACGUG
rnacentral:rRNA from 1 species